rnacentral:rRNA from 1 species
CCUACGGGAGGCUGCAGUGAGGAAUAUUGGUCAAUGGACGAGAGUCUGAACCAGCCAAGUCGCGUGAAGGAUGACUGCCCUAUGGGUUGUAAACUUCUUUUAUACAGGAGUAAAACGAGGCACGUGUGCCUUUUUGCAUGUACUUUAUGAAUAAGGAUCGGCUAACUCCGUGCCAGCAGCCGCGGUAAUACGGAGGAUCCGAGCGUUAUCCGGAUUUAUUGGGUUUAAAGGGAGCGUAGGUGGGUUGUUAAGUCAGUUGUGAAAGUUUGCGGCUCAACCGUAAAACUGCAAUUGAUACUGGCAGUCUUGAGUACAGGUGAGGUAGGCGGAAUUCGUGGUGUAGCGGUGAAAUGCUUAGAUAUCACGAAGAACCCCGAUUGCGAAGGCAGCUUACCAAACUGUGACUGACAUUGAUGCACGAAAGUGUGGGUAUCAAACAGGAUUAGAUACCCUGGUAGUC